GCUGUCCAGUUAAAAUCAGCCAAGAAUGCGACAGCCGCCGGGCCUGCUUCAUCGAGGCUGGGCUGCUGAAGCCGUCCCUGGUUAGGGAGACGUCCCGCAUCACGGUGCUGGAGGCGCUGCAGCACCGCUUCCAGGUGACCCAAUGGCGCUUCCCCUUCCCCUUCGGCAAGUCCGCCGGCGGCUCCUCGGUCGGCCCCAGGACUCGCUGGAGAGUGUUGUGCUGAGUGUAAGUCGGUGUGCCUGGGACCGGGGAGGUGCGGGGAGGGGUCCCCGGAGCUGGGCCGGGCUGUGGCCCUUGCUGGCACUCGUGAUGUCACUCAGGAGCUUUUGGCUUCUGAGAUGCGUCUGCUUGGACCGUGCCGGAGAUAGGGUGUCCGUGAGCUGGGCGGCACCCCGAGGAGUGGAGUCCGCACCAGGGCAUUCCCGCACUACCUGCCCCUAAGGCUUCUGUGGGUGCAGAGUGUGUCCCCCAAGCCCCCGUCUUCCCGGGCAGCCCAGCCUGGAAGCGCAGGUGCGUGGCAUUGCCAUAGCAACAAGGAACACGAAGAAGAACCGUGACACGUGAAGACGUCAGGUCCAGGUCUUGUGUUUCAACUUUUACAGCUUGAAGAUUUUAGGUUCCCACAAAAGUUGCAAGGGUAACACAGAGAGCUCCUGGGCCCGGGGCCUUCCCACGUGGUGAACGUCGUGUGUCACUGUUGGCCCCACGUGGGACUGGGUCUUGCCCCAGAAUCCAAACCAGGAGGCCACGUGACAUUUAGCUGUCACUUCUGGUGGGCUCUGCCAGGUCCCCUGCUUCCUGGCAGGGCGGCCCCGUGAGCAUCUGCUCAACCCCUUUCCUCUAGUGGGCCCUGGGUGAGGUGCAGCCACUCGGGUGCACCCUGAGGGUUCCUGCACCUGUUUAAACUCUCUUGGAUCGGCUCAAGAUCAAAAAUGAUGCUGAGCAGUCCUGGUCCUCUGAUGCACAGUGGCGGUCCGGUGCCAGUCAGUGUCUCCUGCACUCCUGGGCCGCUGAGCCACAGUGGUGGUCCAGCUCCAGUCAGUGUCUCCCCACACAGUGGCUCUUGGCAAGGGGUGGGCACUGCCAGUGGGGACGGGCACCACGUGCUCAUCCCCAUGGCAGGUCCUGUCAUAGCAGCCGUGUUGUGGGAGGAUGGUGUGCUGCUGCCCCUUUACCCUGUGAGAUGAAUCCUGCCUCUGGGAGGCACAGCCGGGACGGGGUGGGGGACCCACUCAGCUGUCCGGGAAGCGUCCCCCGCCCUGUGCUUCUUCCAGGCGUCCUGGUGCACUCCCGAGCACAGUGCCCAGUGGACGUCCCCAUGCCCGGACCCUGACCCACAGGUGUCUCCCCUUGUGGACUCCACGCCUUUCACUGGCACUGGGAUGGCGAGUGACCUGUCCAUGGUAGAAGGGCUGGACCUGAGGUGCCUGAGACAGCACCAAGGGCCCCGGUCCCAGCAGCUGCAGCCUCCGUGUGCUAGAUGCCAAGCCCUGUGCCAGGAGGACAGGGAGGUGGGGGCAGUGGUGGCCUUGGUGCCCCACGUUGGGCAGUGGCUGCCUCUGCCCUGGAGACCUAUGAGGGUCAGGGUCUGCGGUGCAGUGUGACCCGGGGGCACUGCUUGGCCACGGCUGAGACACACAGAGGGUCUGCAAUUCCCCGGCCUCUUGGGAGCUGCCCUCGGUCAGCCGUCAGUGGGGCUUGGCCUUGGACUUUUUAUUAUUAGACAGUCAUCGAGAAACAGCAGUGCUGAGGACGCAGGCAGGGCUGUGGCACUGCAGGGGCCGCUCCCGGUGUCCACACGCGUGCUGGACUCUGCCGUGGUGCGGGAAGCCUGUGUUUCACCCUGAGGCCGUCCUGGUGCCCCUGGUUUGGGCCCUCCCCACCUCGGGGACCUGGCGUGCGUAAGGGGUGGGGAGAUCCCAUGGCGGCCUCCCUGAGCUCCCUCUCUCCUCACUAGGCCAUGGCGUAUGCCUCCGCAGACGGGGUCCUCACUGAGGCCAUGAUGGACGCCUGCAUGCGGUACGCCAUCCAGCAGUACCGACAGAGGAUACGCCAGCUGAAGGUGGAGGGGCCUGGGCGCGGGUUCGAGUGCCCCUUCUCCUAAGUCCAAGGGGAUAUCCACACCUCAUGGACCUAGCAGCGGACCCCUCCUUCCCCAGCCUUGCUGGCCCCUGCACGUUUAGGAUAUGCUCCUGGGUGGGGCAUGGGCUGUUCCCAGGGCCUCUGUACACCAGGAUGUCUUGUGGUGGGGGUUGAUCGUUCUGCCCCCCCAGGACAACCCUCUCUUGUGGGCACUGGCUAGGGAGGGGCAGGCCUCCGUCCUGCUCCCCAGGAGACUCUUGGGAGACGCAUUUUCCAUCUGGUUCAGAGGAGGAGUGGGAGGCUUUGCACCCCAGCCCCUGCCCAGGCUCCUGGGAUGGUGGGUGCCGUCCGAGCCCCCGGGGCAGCAGGAGCGGGGCAGGCGGGGUCUUUGUUCUCACUCCCACAGCAGAGCCAGAUGUGGGGGCGCCUGCUGGGACUAGACCAAGGUGGGGUGGCCUGAAGACUGCUUCCAACAGUGGCCAGGAAGCAGGGAACCUGGCCGGCGUGUCUGAGGCCACACUCUCAGCUGGCUGGUCCAAGCCUGUGGCUGGAGCUGGUGUCUGUUUAGCUAAUAAAGUCCCACAGGUGCCUCA